CGAUAACAAUCGUUUUAUUGAAGCGUUACUUCCACUUACAAAUUUCGCUUUUAACUCUUACAUACGUAUUAAAAUCGGAGACCUCAUUCACCGUAGUAGGUGUCUUGUUACAUUGUCGUGGGAGCUUUUCCAGUAUACGUGGAUGUUUAUUCUCCUAUCUACUCCUUUACUGCUAUAGCAUGCCGAACGAGUGAAAAUAUAGGAUUCUGUUCAAGCCUGAAACCCAUCAUCUUCUAUCGUCAUGGAACAUCAAUAAAACUAAUGAGGACAGAAUUCGCAAUCCAAGGGUGUGUUAAAAAAUUAUCGUGUU